UGAAUUUGAAUGUUGGCCUACCUUGC
rnacentral:piRNA from 1 species